GACGAACGCUGGCGGCGUGCUUAACACAUGCAAGUCGAACGGAAAGGCCCUGCUUUUGUGGGGUGUUCGAGUGGCGAACGGGUGAGUAACACGUGAGUAACCUGCCUUUGACUUUGGGAUCACUUCAGGAAACUGGGGCUACUACCGGAUAGGAGCUCUUGCUGCAUGGUGGGGGUUGGAAAGUUUCGGCGGUUGGGGAUGGACUCGCGGCUUAUCGGGUUGUUGGUGGGGUAGUGGCUUACCAAGGCUUUGACGGAUAGCCGGCCUGAGAGGGUGACCGGCGACAUUGGGCCUGAGAUACGGCCCAGACGCCUACGGGAGGCAGCAGUGGGGAGUAGUGCACAAUGGGCGGAAGCCUGAUGCAGCAACGCCGCGUGCGGGAUGACGGCCUUCGGGUGGUAAACCGCUUUCGCCUGGGACGAAGCGUGAGUGACGGUAAUGGGUAAAGAAGCACCGGCUAACUACGUG
rnacentral:rRNA from 1 species